rnacentral:rRNA from 1 species
UACGAAGGGGGCUAGCGUUGCUCGGAAUCACUGGGCGUAAAGCGCACGUAGGCGGAUCUUUAAGUCAGGGGUGAAAUCCCAAGGCUCAACCUUGGAACUGCCUUUGAUACUGGGGGAUCUCGAGUCCGGAAGAGGUGAGUGGAACUGCGAGUGUAGAGGUGAAAUUCGUAGAUAUUCGCAAGAACACCAGUGGCGAAGGCGGCUCACUGGUCCGGUACUGACGCUGAGGCACGAAAGCGUGGGGAGCAAACAGG